GGGAAUUUAGCUCAGUGGCACAAGCACCUGCCUUGCAAGCAGGUGGUAGUGAGUUCAAUCUCAGGUACCG
rfam:Cavia porcellus supercont2_66 genomic scaffold, whole genome shotgun sequence.